rnacentral:ncRNA from 1 species
UGACCCCGUGCGGGAGAGUUCGGUCACGGUGCUGCCGUGGCCGGCGCCGAAGGAGCAACCCUCCCCGACAACCUCUCAGGCCACCGGACCGUACGGGCGAG